rnacentral:rRNA from 1 species
AUUGAACGCUGGCGGCAGGCCUAACACAUGCAAGUCGAACGAGCGGCGGACGGGUGAGUAAUGUCUGGGAAACUGCCCGAUGGAGGGGGAUAACUACUGGAAACGGUGGCUAAUACCGCAUACCAUCGGAUGUGCCCAGAUGGGAUUAGCUAUGAGGUGGGGUAACGGCUCACCUAGGCGACGAUCCCUAGCUGGUCUGAGAGGAUGACCAGCCACACUGGGACUGAGACACGGCCCAGACUCCUACGGGAGGCAGCAGUGGGGAAUAUUGGACAAUGGGCGAAAGCCUGAUCCAGCCAUGCCGCGUGUGUGAAGAAGGUCUUCGGGUUGUAAAGCACUUUAAGUUGGGAGGCGUUACCCACAGAAUAAGCACCGGCUAACUUCGUGCCAGCAGCCGCGGUAAUAC